CCUACGGGCGGCAGCAGUGAGGAAUAUUGGUCAAUGGACGAGAGUCUGAACCAGCCAAGUAGCGUGAAGGAUGACUGCCCUAUGGGUUGUAAACUUCUUUUAUAUGGGAAUAACAUGUUCCACGUGUGGGAUUUUGUAUGUACCAUAUGAAUAAGGAUCGGCUAACUCCGUGCCAGCAGCCGCGGUAAUACGGAGGAUCCGAGCGUUAUCCGGAUUUAUUGGGUUUAAAGGGAGCGUAGGUGGAUUGUUAAGUCAGUUGUGAAAGUUUGCGGCUCAACCGUAAAAUUGCAGUUGAAACUGGCAGUCUUGAGUACAGUAGAGGUGGGCGGAAUUCGUGGUGUAGCGGUGAAAUGCUUAGAUAUCACGAAGAACUCCGAUUGCGAAGGCAGUUCACUGGACUGCAACUGACACUGAGGCUCGAAAGUGUGGGUAUCAAACAGGAUUAGAUACCCCAGUAGUC
rnacentral:rRNA from 1 species